AUUGAACGCUGGCGGCAGGCCUAACACAUGCAAGUCGAACGGUAACAGGAAACAGCUUGCUGUUUCGCUGACGAGUGGCGGACGGGUGAGUAAUGUCUGGGAAACUGCCUGAUGGAGGGGGAUAACUACUGGAAACGGUAGCUAAUACCGCAUAACGUCGCAAGACCAAAGAGGGGGACCUUCGGGCCUCUUGCCAUCGGAUGUACCCAGAUGGGAUUAGCUAGUAGGUGGGGUAACGGCUCACCUAGGCGACGAUCCCUAGCUGGUCUGAGAGGAUGACCAGCCACACUGGAACUGAGACACGGUCCAGACUCCUACGGGAGGCAGCAGUGGGGAAUAUUGCACAAUGGGCGCAAGCCUGAUGCAGCCAUGCCGCGUGUAUGAAGAAGGCCUUCGGGUUGUAAAGUACUUUCAGCGGGGAGGAAGGGAGUAAAGUUAAUACCUUUGCUCAUUGACGUUACCCGCAGAAGAAGCACCGGCUAACUCCGUG
rnacentral:rRNA from 1 species